AAAUAUUUACGAUGGGAAUCCCAGAAUUUUCCAAAACUAAAAAACCAUUCUAGCCUAGCGUAAAAUUGGCCUGAGAGAUCCUCAGAAGGGAGGGGAAAAAACUUAAAAUGUAGAAUCUGUAUAUUUCCUACCCUAUUCAUCAUCACAUAUCAUAAUUAAUUGUAAGGUCUGGCAUAAAGGAUUCAUCAGGAGAUUAAAAGGGAUUCUACCAAAGCAAAUUGCUGAUAUCAGUUCCUGCCUAACUGACAGACAAUUUAGAGUCAGACAAGAAGAUCUAUAUUCAGAAUUAAAAACAAUAAAUGCAGAAGUGUCACAAGAUGACUAAGCAGUGAUGACAGUAAGACUGACCAUCAACCUUUCAACCAAAAUACUUCAAAAGGCUUGUAAUAAAUUAAAUGAAUGGACAAAAAAUUGAUAAUCAAGCUCAAUCAGCAAAAAUCAGAACAUACAAAUUUUACAUACAAAAAAGUGGUCGAUGCAUCUUGUCACA